CACAUUGUAGUCAGGACACGGAUGU
rnacentral:piRNA from 1 species